ACCGCUCUCAACCUCCAAGAGCUCGUGAGUCGAGAAAUUUCCGGCGUGGUCGGUGCCCAUUUUGGUCAGAAUCGCACGAGCAAAGCAACACCCCCCACCCCGCCUGAGAAAUCCCCACGUCAACGGCAGCAACCCUCCCCCCUCGAUCUCCGCCUGUAAUCUUCGAUUCGUCGCCGGCAACCGCCGCCCGCCGCCCCCCGUCGAUCUCCAACCGCAGCCUUCGCCGUCCCGCUAAGUUGGAGAGCAGCACAAGUGCUGCUGGGAGCCGCUUGGGGGAAGCCGGUUCGGGCGACUGAACGCCGGGGAGCGCCGCCGCCACUCGCUAGCUCCGGCCUCCGGGGGCAACGCCGCCGAGCCACGUCGCCGGUCAGGCAAUGGAUAUGGAUGAUAUGCUCGGUGGCCUGCGUGUUGCCGGAGUGCCGACCAAGAGCGCAAUUUACUUAUGGGGGUAUAACCACAGUGGGCAGACGGCACGGAAGGGCAAGGAGUGCCACUUAAGGAUCCCCAAAAGCCUCCCUCCAAAGCUAUUCAAAUGGCAGGAUGGCAAGAACCUCAGGUGGAUUGAUGUUGCCUGCGGUCGCGGGCACACUGCUGCGGUCGCUUCUGAUGGAUCGCUCUACACCUGGGGGGCGAAUGAUUUUGGCCAGUUGGGAGACGGGACAGAGGAGAGUGCAAAGGAACCCCAAAAGGUGAAGGCACUGGAGACUGAAUUUGUGAAAUCAGUGUCCUGUGGAGCACAUUGUACAGCUGCUGUUGCUGAACCUCGAGAAAACAAUGGCACUAUAUCAAGAAGUAGGCUCUGGGUCUGGGGACAAAAUCAGGGCUCAGAUUACCCUCGCCUAUUCUGGGGAGCUUUUGCACCAAAUACGGUGAUCCAUCAGGUUUCCUGUGGAGCUGUUCAUGUCAUGGCCCUAUCUGAAGAUGGCCUGCUGCAGGCAUGGGGCUAUAAUGAGUAUGGUCAGCUUGGCAGAGGUUGUACUUCUGAAGGGCUACAGGGAGCUCGUGUAUUAAAUGCUUAUGCAAGGUUCCUUGACGAAGCCCCUGAGCUAGUGAAGAUUGUUAGAGUAUCAUGUGGAGAGUACCAUACAGCAGCUAUAUCAGAAAAUGGGGAGGUAUAUACUUGGGGACUGGGAAGCAUGGGACAGCUUGGGCAUUGCUCUCUUCAGUCUGGAGAUAAGGAGCUGAUCCCAAGGCGUGUUGUUGCUCUUGACAGAACAGUAAUCAGGGAUGUGUCUUGUGGUGGGGUCCACUCUUGUGCUGUAACUGAAGAUGGAGCCCUUUAUGCUUGGGGUGGAGGACAUGUGGGACAACUGGGCCUAGGACCUCAGAGCGGUUUCUUUUCUUGUGCUCUUAAUGGAUCUGAUAUGCUUCUUCGCAACAUUCCAGUCCUGGUCAUACCAUCAGGAGUUCAGCUUGUUACUUGUGGUCAUUCUCACACCCUUGUAUCUAUGAAAGACAGCCGCAUAUAUGGUUGGGGCUAUAAUAGUUAUGGCCAAGCCGCUAAUGAAAAAUCUACUUAUGCUUGGUUCCCCUCUCCAGUUGAUUGGUGUGUUGGAGAGGUAAGGAGACUUGCUGCAGGUGGUGGCCAUUCAGCUGUUUUAACUGAUGCAUGUUCUCUAAAAGAACUGUGUGAGUUCAAGCUAGCAGAGACAGUUAACAUGUCCAAUGCUCUUCUAAUAGAAGAUGUUGCAUCGCGGACUGGUGGUGAUGCCUUGGCACGUCUGUGUGAGAAAUUGAGGCCAGUGAGAAACAUUGGUAACAUAAAUCAUCAUUAGUGUGAUCUUAGUUCCAUGUGAGAGUUUCCAUGUAUCUCGGAUAUGCAUUCUGCAUAGUUGUCUCAAUUAUUGAACGAGCAUAAAAUCCACAGGAGCAUUUGGUUGAGCAAGGAGAGUGUGAGCUGUUGGAAAAUCAAAUGAUUGAAGAGGUGGAGGCUAAAGCCUAAAUACUCUAGUGAUUCAUCGCUCCUUCGUAGGCAUUGAUUGAAGCAUUAAUCGUCUUGUUGCACUUCAUAUGAAGUGUGAUUGUAGUGUCUGGACUGAAGGCUCUAAUUAAUUGUCUAUUGGACUGUGAAGUCCCAUUGGUGUCUCCAAUGUGUAUCAAAGAAAUGGGGACUACAUGUAUGUUGUAUGUAUCAUGAGUGACUGUUGUUGUAGAGAACCAAAUAACCUUUGGCAACUUGAGAGCUGUGCUUUGUCACUGAAACUAACUGUAAGAUUGAGAGUUGCCAGGUCAUAGUAGUGUGAUUCA